UGAGGACCGACAACUGAUCAUUGACAUAGCAACAUGGAGGCCACUGUUGAUUGAAUGAAGAGUAGUUUUAGUGGCUUCAUAAAGUCAAACAGAAUCUCUUUGGAAUGGUUUCAAAGGGAAAAUUUGGAAAGAAUUUAUACAACUUGUCAAGGAAUUCUUUAAGUAGAUGAAGACAAAUGUGGAGCAGCUGGAGAGAAGUGGCAUCAAAAGAGUGUUUUUCUUCUUAAAAUGGAAGAAAUAACAAGUUGAAGAAAUAGGAAGCAAGAUCAUGAACUUGGAGUGUGGAUGGGAGAGGAGGCAUGACAAGGAUAACAAGUCUGAGAAGAGAGGAGAAAACUGGGCUCUCUGCAACCAGAUCAAGCUAGGCUCGCUCCCAUCACUGGGCCUCAGAGCCUGGUAUUACUUUUCCUGAGAAAUCUGUUCUCCCGAUGAUCACACAGAUUCUUUCUUCUCAGUGUUCAGGUCUCAUCUGUGAUGUCAUCUUCUUUCCUGACCACCCCAAACAAAGCAGAUCCUGAGAACUA